rnacentral:rRNA from 1 species
UUGGAGGGCAAGUCUGGUGCCAGCAGCCGCGGUAAUUCCAGCUCCAAUAGCGUAUAUUAAAGUUGUUGCAGUUAAAAAGCUCGUAGUUGAAUUUCGGGGUUCUACCGUUGGUCGGGCUAUUGUCUGUACUGGCGUGUAGAAUUUCUACCUUCUGGGGAACUAUCAUGUUAUUAAUUUAGCGUGGUAGGAAACCAGGACCUUUACCUUGAAAAAAUUAGAGUGUUCAAAGCAGGCUUAUGUCUGAAUACAUUAGCAUGGAAUAAUAAAAUAGGACGGUGGUCCUGUUUUGUUGGUUUCUGAAUCACCGUAAUGAUUAAUAGGGAUAGUUGGGGGCAUUAGUAUUCAAUUGUCAGAGGUGAAAUUCUUGGAUUUAUUGAAGACUAACUACUGCGAAAGCAUUUGCCAAGGAUGUUUUCAUUAAUCAAGAACGAAAGUUAGGGGAUCGAAGACGAUCAGAUACCGUCGUAGUCUUAACCAUAAACUAUGCCGACUAAGGAUCGGAUGAUGUUAAUUUUUUAAUGACUCAUUCGGCGCCUUACGGGAAA